rnacentral:tRNA from 1 species
UGGGCAUGUGGCUCAAUGGCAGAGCAUCUGCUUAGCACACAGGAAGACCCAGGUUCAAUCCCCUGCAUCCCGA